GGUUCAUUCAAAUUUCUGCCCUAUCAACUUUCGAUUGUAAGAUAGAGGCUUACAAUGGUCUUUACGGGUGACGGGGAAUUAGGGUUCUAUUCCGGAGAGGGAGCCUGAGAAACGGCUACCACAUCCAAGGAAGGCAGCAGGCGCGCAAAUUACCCAAUGCCGAUCGGCGAGGUAGUGACAAUAAAUACUGAUACGGGGCUCUUUCGGGUCUCGUAAUUGGAAUGAGUACAAUUUAAAUCCCUUAACGAGGAACAAUUGGAGGGCAAGUCUGGUGCCAGCAGCCGCGGUAAUUCCAGCUCCAAUAGCGUAUAUUAAAGUUGUUGCAGUUAAAAAGCUCGUAGUUG
rnacentral:rRNA from 1 species